GCCGGGGUGGUGAAACUGGUAGACGCGCGGGACUCAAAAUCCCGUGGCAGCGAUGCCGUGUCGGUUCGAUUCCGACCCUCGGUA
rnacentral:tRNA from 1 species